GAAAGCCCUAGUCGAACAACAAACGCUCUGGGUUGUUUGCAUUUCUUCAAAACCAAUCCCAAUGGUCUUGGACGGCGCUAAGCUCCGGACGCAGCGGCGGUGGCUCUGCAAAAUA